rnacentral:rRNA from 1 species
UACGGAGGGGGCAAGCGUUGUUCGGAAUUAUUGGGCGUAAAGAGCUCGUAGGCGGUCUGUCGCGUCGGCUGUGAAAACCCGAGGCUCAACCUCGGGCCUGCAGUCGAUACGGGCAAACUAGAGUACUGCAGGGGAGACUGGAAUUCCUGGUGUAGCGGUGAAAUGCGCAGAUAUCAGGAGGAACACCGGUGGCGAAGGCGGGUCUCUGGGCAGUAACUGACGCUGAGGAGCGAAAGCGUGGGGAGCGAACAGG